rnacentral:rRNA from 1 species
UACGAAGGGGGCGAGCGUUGUUCGGAAUCACUGGGCGUAAAGCGUGCGCAGGCGGUUUGCUAAGACAGGUGUGAAAUCCCCGGGCUUAACCUGGGAACUGCGCUUGUUACUGGCAAGCUGGAGUGUGGCAGAGGGGGGUGGAAUUCCGACGUGUAGCAGUGAAAUGCGUAGAGAUGUGGAGGAACACCGAUGGCGAAGGCAGCCCCCUGGGCUAACACUGACGCUCAUGCACGAAAGCGUGGGGAGCAAACAGG